rnacentral:rRNA from 1 species
AAGUCGUAACAAGGUAACCGUAGGUGAACCUGCGGUUGGAUCAUUACUGAUUACAACUUGGCCUGGGGUUGAGCUCUAACGAGUUCCUCCAGUGUCAUACACACUUUGUGGACUUUUGUGUAUUUGGGUUGUUUUUCUCUUGGAAUCUUAUUGGGGUAACCCAGUUGGUACUGAGAGAGGCAGCCCAGCAAAUUUAACAAACCUUUAUUCUUUUGACUGAAAUCUCUAUGUAAAUAGAAACAACUUUUGACAACGGAUCUCUUGGCUCUCGCAACGAUGAAGAACGCAGCGAAAUGCGAUACGUAAUGUGAAUUGCUUUCCGUGAAUCAUCGAAUCUUUGAACGCACAUUGCACUCUAUUCUGUAGAGUAUGCCUGUUUGAGAAUCUAUAGUAUUUCUUUUAGGAAUUUUUUUAAAAUGCCUAAAGAUCUGAGGCCUUCUCUCCUUCAGGAGAGUGCCUUGAAAUAGAUUAUCUGUACCUCGAGAAGAUGUCUGACGUCUCUUAACAACAGAACAGUAUUUGAAUGGUUUUCAACCUCAAUGCCUACUAAGUUGCUAGGGAAAUAGUCGAUCGAGCUAUAGGUCCAUAAACUAUAGUGCUCCUUCCUCUUGAGGAAAGAGCUCUGAACCUUGGUCUCAAAUCAGGUAGGAAGACCCGCUGAACUUAA